GCCCCCUAGUGGUACUCUUUUUGGCAUCUGUAAAUUUACCUUAGGAUCUGACUCCUGCUGCAUGUUAUCUAAAUUAGUUUUAUCUUAUAUUCCUGAAAAGUAUUAUCAAGAUUCUCAGUGCAUUAAGAAUUAAUUUUUUUCUAUUAGAAUAUAGCAUGACAUUCAGUUUGAAAACUUGUUAACAGUUACAGUGUCCAAGUGUCGACUUACUUGAUUUUUCACAGAAACUUUUUCAAUGAAUCUCUUGCGGUCCAAGAAAGUAAAAACAUUUUUCCACCCCUGGUGGAUACACUGACCUUUAUUAUCACUAAGCUCCAACUUUGUUUCUCGUCUAGAUGUCACGUUGGCGACUAAAGUGAAUGCCGUGCUGACAUAAAAACGCCCAGGUUCCGCAAUGAUUCGAACACCAGAACUCGAUGGAAAACAAUCAUCUAUUGUAUUGUUCAAUACAGAACAAAC
rnacentral:lncRNA from 1 species